rnacentral:lncRNA from 1 species
GGAAGGUCGGUGGUUCUACCUAAAUUUGCGGUUCUAGUACCAAUGGCCGCAUAAUAUAGCGGCAGUUCUUGAAAACACGUUUCGGAUUGGGUGACUCAAACAACAGUGAUGUUUAUCUUUAUUUACUUCAUCAUGAUGACGUGUUUCAUGUUUUCGAUAGUGCACGGUUACUGCCCUUUAACAAAAUGCGCCAUUUGCACUGUUGGGUAUAAAUUUGUCGUCUGAGCAGUUUAACAAGUCUUCAGCAUCGCUUAGAAGUUAGAUGAAGAUUUCAAAUGACGUCUACAAUAUUCUGAGCUUGCUGCACUGUGUGAGACAGUCCAGAAGUUUGGUGCAUAUUUGUGUGCCAUGUGCACGGUUUUGAAGGGAUUGCCAUGGGAAAAGAUUAUGGAAAGUACAAGUUUAAAGAUAUGUAAUUGUCAAGGAAACAUUGUGUCUGCUGAUUUGAACAUACAACCUUUAGAUAGGAAGAUACGUGUUGCACCUAUUGAGUCAACAAAGUGAGCUGGCUUGGUAAAAGAAUUCAGCUGCAGGUUUCAGUAUAGUGAACCAGACACCAUUGAACCAGCUAACUGAAGUAUGGUACUGACGCAGAUGACCAGAUGUUAACUUUUGGUGAUUUAACCUAGACAGCUAGUACAGCAUGGUAUCAUCCAAGGUUCUACACUACAUUUGGGAAUACAGUACAUACCAAUGGCUUCUUCUUGUCACCUGUGACACAGCUGGCACCACGAGCAAUAAAGAAUAUCACCAUUCUAAGUGCCAUACAACCCACCACCUCUCUGUCAGCGUCCAAUGGGUCUGCCUUCACCAGUACUGCCUCGAUGAACAACCUACAACUGCUGUACCUCAACAACAACUGCAACCAGUAUUCUCAAUAACAACAUUGCAUGAGAAACCUCAAAAUAUGCACAUCAUCAAACCUAGUCCUAAUGCGUUGUGGUAUGUGUGAUCUCCAGUUUCACAGGAAGCUGCACUGCAUUGGAGAUGAUUUUGCAAGGUCUGAGUUGGACGUUAUAAUUUGCAAAAGAUGCAAUAAUAAUGUGGAGUAAAAUAAGACCAGCACGGAUAACCCAAUGGCAAAUGGAGUUUAUGCAUUUCUGCAGCAUAUGUGAUGUUUCAUGUUUCUACCUCUGCAGUUACUAUAUUUCAGUCCCGAGAUCAUUAAUUUCCUGUUCUAUUUUUUGGCAAUGUUUCAUCAUUGCAGUAGCAUUAGAUACAAAGUGUUUCUUUAUACUGGUACACUCAGCUUUUUAAUAUGGACUUGUUUAGCAUUUGCUCGCACAUGGUAGUGACGUCAUUAAUUUUGACACAACUUGUAUAAAGGUACUUAUGUAAUACUGUACAUUUUAACACAUUCCGAAGAAAACACACACAACAACUUUUAUUGUUAAUUUGUUUACAAAUAAUUGGUGACAUUUUAGUAGAAUAACACUAGGCGAUGCACCAUAUCAAAUAUCAAAUGCCUAGAUCUUUCACUUUCAGAUGAAAAGAAUUAUUUCUAGUAUAUAAUUCCAGAUUCGGGGGUAUUUGUCCUCUUCAGUGACAGCUCUAGUUGAUCGUGGAUUAAUUAAUGGACAAGUACUUAAAUUAAACAUGUAGUCAAAAUAUAUAGUUUGUUCAUUUUUGAGCUAAUAAUAUAUGUAACGUAUCAUUUGAUAAAUGUAACGAAAGUUUCAGUUUACUGUAAGUACAGUAUUGGGAAUCAUUUUCUUCAGAAAGGUAUGCUAUGUUAUUUUAAUGAUGAAUUGAAC